UUCAUCUUUAUCAACGAGUUUAAGAAUCGCUGAGAAGCGUCGACGUGCUCAAAUAUUGUUGGGUGAGGGGAAAAAAGAUCGAUAAUUUUUUCUUCCUCCUCUCUCUCUCUUUGUCCGACGGCAGAUAUCAACGGCGACUCUAGUGCAUGUAAUCCGCAAAUUUUUUUUUUGAAAUCGGAGAGUCACAUUCACCAAAUCGAAGAGUCACAGUCACAUUCUCCGGUUUGCACAUACACGUUGGAGGAGGAACAUGAAAGGUUUAUACUUUUUUCGGAAUCUAUAUACGUUAGGUUGGGAUUUCAUCUGGAGCUGCUGCAGUAGCAGCAAUCAGCUUGGCUAAAAUAGAAGAGAAUGCUGGAAAACUUAUCACGUUCCAUCCACAAAGAGAUACAAGAGAUGAGAUAUUAGUAGCAGCAAUUAGAAAAGCCCCCUCAAGUUUGGUCCUUGGGGAGAUUGUAAACAAUAAUUCUCUUUCUUGGUGAACUUGAAGUGGUUCUGGAGGCAAUACAGACUGUUAAGUUUCAACGCUGUAUGGUCCCUCUGUUCCAACAGGUUGCUCGAUGCCUCAGUAGCUCCAAUUUUCAAUUUUUGUCUCAGAUCUUGAUGAGUUUAUAAUGAAGCGAGGAAGAAAGAGAUGGAAUCAAUUUGAUUCAGUUGUUUCGGGCUUUUUAUUUGGUGAAGAUUACAGUUUG